ACUAAACCUUGCGCCUUUGACCUACUGAAUCCGGGUGAGACUGAAGCUCGCAUCAUGCGAGGUUUGAUUUAAUGCUGUCGGUUUUGGCACAUGACCUGUGCGGAAGACAUGGUCGGGCGGUGGGAAGUUUGUUCGCAGGGCGGCACAUCUGCUAAAUGACAACACGUGUGUCCUAAUGUACGCUCAGCGGGAGCAGAAAUCUCAUGUGGACCACAGAAUAUGCUUGUCUUAGUUUUAGAUUUAGGAUGUAGGGUUUAUGAUUUUCAGAACGAAUACAAACUGUGAAAGCAGGGCCUAUCAAUCCUGUAGGGAUUGCUUGCUUAUGGCAGCCA
rnacentral:ncRNA from 1 species